CAAAAAUCUACGUCUCAGGCAGAUGAGGAGGCAUUAUUAAGAGAUGUGAUUGAGAGUGGAGAUGAAGACGAGAAUAAGAGAUGCGACGAUGAAGGUCCUUGGUUAAACGAAACAAACUUAUCCCAAGGAGUUGCAAAAAAUAAUGAAAUGGAAGUGCUACGUGGUACCGCUUCACACAUUGCGGAAAGUAACACUAGUAAAGACGAAGUGUUGUCUCUGGUGAAACAAUUUUGCGAAUCCUCUACCAAUAUGAUGAACAAUGCCAAGAAUCUCUGUUACGUGCUCGGGCAGCUGUUGCUAAAAUGGAAAAAAUUCAGGGUUUGGUUAUUAACGAGUUCAAUCAACCGAGUUAAACAAACAAAGACCCGUGAAGAUAAAAACAAUGCGAUUCGUACAAAAAUAAGAGAUGUGAAUAAUGAAUUCAGUGAAAUGCAUGAGCAUUAUCACAAACUAGUUUAUAGAGAUAAGAGCAGAUCGAGCGAUAGUACUUCUAGUCGUGAACUUGGUGAAUUGAAAAGUCAAGUCUCUAAAAAUUAGUACGACAAAAAUUAAUAAAAUUAAAAGUAGAUAGAAGCGUUAGUGAAUUUCAAAAUUCCGACAGUUUGGCAAAUUAAAUUAAAGAAACAUUAAAAGUAGAAAUUAUUAGUAAGGUGGAGGUAUGAAACGAGAUUAUAAACUUACAUCAAAUACUAAAUUUGAUCAUUUCUCUGAUCUUUUUACAUCAGAAUUAAGAGCUCAUGAAUUACUGUAUGUAAUUGAUCCGACUAGUGCUCCGCGUAGAGAUCUUGAAACUGAUAUUAUUGAAAUACAUAAAUUCAAAGUUCGAGACAUUUUAAUUAACCAUUUAGAUCAGAAGUUUCAUUCUCAAGUUAUUGAAAUAAAAGAUCCGGUAGAACUCUUAAAUACAAUUGAAGACCUUAAGAAAACUAAAAGUAAUAAUUCUUCAAGUUUUACUCACAUCGUUACUUGCAUUUUCUGGUUAUCGGGAUAUUUAACACUUAUUUUUGCUAUAAAAUAGCCAAAAUAAGAUAGUUUCGGCAAUUAACAUUAUAUUUUGAUAUAAAUGAUGAUAAUUUAUUGUUCAAAACAAAAAAAAAAAAAAAAUUUAUUUCUAGUUCAACUUUGACCUUGAAUAACUUUGACGCAAGUGAUUUUUUCGAAAAAAUUUUAAGAUAAAGUUUUUGUAGAGCGUUCAAUUUUCUACAAAAAUAAUUUGAUGCCGCAGCAACUGGCUUUGCAAAGAAAUAAUGAAUUGCAAAAAGUACCAAAACCCCAUGUUAUUUAAAUGAGGAAUGAAUCGCCGGGCUUAUAUCGGUUGGAUAAUUUUUUUUAGACCAUUUACUAAAAAUUGUAGGGGCGCUGCAGAGUCAAAAACCACUUUGGGAAAUAACGGACACCCUAGCCUACAUGUAUGAUGCGAAUUCACAUGAAAAUAUGUGGGAUCUUGCAUUAAGUGCUGCUGCAUUUGCUUACAACUGAACACCUCACAAGUCUAACGAUAUGAUUACACCUUUACAACGGUUUGCACCGAAUCACAAUUUUGAUAUUAAUCAAUUGAGACGUUUUGGAUGCGUAGCAUAUAUUAAAGUACGAAAAAAAACUGGUCCUAAGGUUUGAUUCGAAGGGAGACUCGUAAUUAUGGUAGGAUAUACACCUACUGGUUAUCAGUUCCUGAAACCAGAAGAAGGGAAGUUUUAUAAGAGUAGAGAUGCUCGUUUCAGUGAAAAACUGGUGUAUGGUGAUAAGUAUGAUAAAAAUUGUGAGAAAGAUUGGCCGGUUGAAGAAUCAUCAGUUAAUGAAGAAAAGUGGCUUGUCGAAUUUCAUAAAGAUGAGUUAGAAUUGUUAAAACCGGAGGUAAAGACGAAAAGAAAGAGAAGACGAUCGAAGAAACAGCAAAAUUGUUCAACAGAUGCGAAAAUAAAUAACGAGAACUUAAUUAAAGAGAAUAGUUUUUCGGAAAUGAUUGAUGUAAUCGUUGAAAUUGAUGCUAACUUAGUUUUUGGUGAGAGAAUAGAUUGUAAGAUGAGUGAAACCCAGGAUAAAAUUUAUCAUGCAAUUUUAACGGGUAUUCAACAAGACCCAAUAUCUUUUCGAGAUGCUAUAGAAUCAAAAAAACGGGAAUUUUGGCAAAAUGCUGCGAGAAAUGAGCUUAAUUUUAUGAAUAAAAAUAAUGUGUGGACAUUAGUUGACCGACCUACUAGAAUAAAAAACGGUAAAAGAUUAAAUAUCAUAGACGCUAGGUGGGUUUUCAAAAAGCAAAUUGAAAAUGACAAUCAAAUUAAAUACAAAGCGUGAUUAAUGAUUCGAGGUUUCAAAGAUUAUAACAACUAUGAUCUCCGAGAAACCUAUGAUCCUGUAUCUCGAUUGCCCUCAAUUAGGUCUGCCUAUGAUAUCAUUAAUAAAUAUGAUUUGGAGACUUCCUAUCUUGAUAUAAAACCCACAUUUUUAAAUGGCAUUAUAGGUGAGGAAAUUUAUAUGGAAAUCCCAGGUGUGAAUGUUACACAAGAAAUUAGGGAAAGUAUGGUGUGUAAAUUAGAACGAGCUCUGUAUGAUUUACGGUUUAGUCCUAAGAAAUGGAAUAAGAAAUUUACUGAUGUGGCAUUGAGUAGAUUGCGUAAUCACAACUACAUUUGAAUUCAAAUGUAGUUGCACUUCCGGCAGGUAGAGGCAGCACCUCCUGGGGCCUCUUCAAUAAAUUUAAACUUGAUCAUGCGCAGUGCGGUGCAUGCGCAUUUGCUGUUUCCUGCCUCGUGUCGAGAAGACCAACGCCAUUAUCUUUCGUUUUAUAGAUUCAAGUGAAAACACGUGUUUUAUAGAAUCAUAUCAUUUUGCGCUCAUCACGAGUAAAUAAAUAAAAGUAAUUAAUUCAUUGAAUUCAGCGAUCAUUAAGCUCAUUAAAAUUAUAUUUAUUUUUAUAAUUUUGGGCACCAGAGCUCAUAAUAAAAAUUCAUCAAGACCACAAUAAAUCAGCGAUCAUCGACCACGUUUCUCAAGAGGUUAAUCAGACGGGGAACAUCAGAGGUGCCUAUCUAUUAAAUAAAUAAUUAUUAAAAGUGCUUAUACAAUUAAUAGACUCAAUUUUUAUAAUUGUUUAACUAUCAUAAAGCUCAAUAUUUUAAUUAACCUAAAAGUAAAUUCUCGCUCGAUAGUCUCUGAAACCAUGCUGCCACGUGUUCAGAAAAUAAAUGCAAUUCAGUGUAAUUUAUCACGAGCUCCUUGAAUUAAAUUAAAUUAAGUGAUUAUUAAUAUUAAAACUCAAAUAAUUAUACAGUUAGUGCUCUUAAAAUAUAAUCAUUAAGUGUUCAAUUAUUAACUUCGCUCGGUAACCUCUAAAUUCAUGUUACUUGUUAUCAUGACAUUUUUUCAAUCAACUCAGUGUUCAAGUAGACUCCAAUUAAUUACUUCAACUAUUUCAAUUAUUUACUCGAGCUCAAUUCUAUCAUUUGUAUUCAAAUAAUUACAUAUUCAUGAGCUCAAUCAAUUAACAGUAUUAAUAAAUUAAAUCAACGAUUUAAUUUUGUAACCCAGGGAUAAUAUGUGCUGUGACAAAUAAAAAUAUUGUUAUAUUUUUUAAUAUGCGUAUUUUCCCAACAUCCCAACCACCAACCAGUCCUGGCAUGCAUUUAUUUUAUUAUUAUUACAACAGAGUGUAGGGUUAAAAAAUCACAAAAGAAAGUCAUGUUCAUUUAUUUGGAGAGAAAAUGGAAAAAUUCUCAUCUUAAUACUAUAUGUCGAUGAUUUUAUCUUAGCUUCUAACGACAAAUCUAAAAUGAUGGAGGUAAAGCCACAACUUAAAAAGGACUUUGAGAUGAGUGAUUUGGGUGAACCAAAAGAAUUUCUGGAAAUUUCAAUACAUCGAGAUAGACAAAGUCGAGAAAUCAUUCUCAGUCAGGAAAAAAAUAUAAGUAGAAUCUUAGAAAAAUGUAAUUUUAGUGAUGAGUCCACAGAGAAUAGCCGGCGAUUUCAAUGCGAGGCUUGGCUCACUAGGAUUCUUUAACCUUGAGGACCUUGACGCUCCUUCAUUAACCAACACGAAAACUUCCUUGGAUGAUUCUGUCAAUCAGAGAGGUAACAUUAUUCUAGACUUCAUGGACAGUAAUAGUUUUAUUUUCCUUAACGGCGAUCCCCCAGCAAUACACCUGGACAAUUUACCUUCGGCAACAAAAAUAGCAAAAGAACUGUCGACCUCAUCUGAGUGAACGCCCUCAGCCUCCACCUGAUAGAAGAUAUACGUGGUAACUUGAUCGUUUCAAAUUUCAAUCAUUUUCCAGUCUCAGUUACACUCUCAGUUCAGCUAACUCCUUCACCAUCCAUAUUUAACGCUCACGAGAAGAAUGAAGACACAUUAAAGCUGCGCUGGGAUCCGUCUAUGAAAAACGCAUACAAGUCGGAAAUGGCUUGGUCCACGCACAUUACCGCCAACUUUGAAACCGAAGAUGUUAAUUCGAUUUAUCACAAGCUAGGACUUGGCAUCAAGGAAACUUGUACAACCUGUAAUAUGACCUCUUAUCCUCGUCCGAUAAGGAAGCCUGCUAACAAGCUGUGGUUUGAUCAGGACUUUUUUACAAUUUAAACAUAGAAUCAAUCUUGCGCUAAAACUUCGCAAACACAAUAGUCGAGAUCAACUUGCUUGGGCAGUAUAUUUUAACAACAAAAAAGGUUACUUUGCUUUGCUAAAAAUGAAAAAAGAGGAGUACCACAAUUAAAUACGCCUACAAUUAAGCAACGUCAACAACCCCAGGGAAUUUUGGAAGGCGGUCAAAACAGCGUGAAGUUACACUUCUGGCCCAGUCACCAUCACAAUCCCCAAAUGGGAGAAAUUCUACGAAAACAUUAUCUGCCUAGAUCUGCCUUUGAGAGUCCUUUCUUCGAAACCGGAACGCCUGAACUAGAUUCAGACAUCCCCGUCGAUGAACUUCUUCUUAGCCUCCACAAAGCCAAACAAGGCAAAUCUUCUGGCUCAGACAUGAUCUCGAACGAGUUUUUAAUAGAACUACCAGAAAAUUGGCUUCUAUAUACUGCUUCGCUGUUCAAUAAGAUCCUAAACACGUGUACAAUUCCUACAGAGUGGUCCAGUGUCAGAAUGUGUCUGUUACAUAAAAAGGCAAUGAGUCGGACCCCAAUAACUACAGAGACAUUGCCAGGUAAACUAUCUCACCAAGAUCUUUACCCAGAUUACUCAUGAGCGCAUAAGAAAAUGGGCUGAAGACGAUUCCCUACUUCCAGAGGAACAGGCAGGCUUCCGUGCCGGACGAGGCUGUGAAGACAAUAUCUUUAACCUCCUAGCUUUACUGCAGCUCCAAGCGCGCAUCAAAAACGUGCCCGCGCACGCCCUCUCCGUGGACUUAAAACGAGCUUUCGAUUCCAUACCUCACACCAAACUCUGGCAGAAGCUCCACUCACUUGGCAUUAGCUCGAAGCUCUUGAACCUACUCGCCUCUCUAUAUAACAAAGCCAACAUGCAGAUCCAAAUCAUCGGCUAACUUUCAACUCCCAUCCUCCUGGAAUACUGCACUGUAAAUGGUCUCACAGUUAACGUUGGUAAAACUAAAACCUUGACUACCAGCCACAACGGACUUGAGAGAAGCAAAAGACUCUUCACGUACGAUGGUAAUCAGAUCGAGUCCGUCUAUCAACUAGAAUCCGCCAACCUAUUCUUCUUUAAACGUGUGUUUACACUUCCACGAUGUACCCCAGGUUAUGCAAUUAAAUUAGAGCUCAUCAUGCAACACAUUGCAGUCACAGUCCUGAAAGCCGCCUUCAAAUGGGUCAACAAGAUCCUUGAGAUGCCGGAGCAUAGACUUCCAAAAAUAUGCCUACUCACUUUAAUUGGACUGACAACCUCUCCGUCAAACUCUACCGACUCCAACUGGGUCCAACUUCUGAUGAAUCAUCUAGCCGUGAUAUACGAGGAAACUCUGCUCAACAAUCUUACUGCGAGCUUCUGGAGAGCUAAACUCAACCUAGUCAUCAUCAAGUACGAAGCAUACAGAAGAGAAGUCGACUUAGCCAGAUAUCACGCUACCACCGCAUGUCAGUUCACUCACGUAGCCCAUUCAGCUGAAAUUUAUUCACACAUCCUCGAGAACCUACCCCCACAUACUGCAAAACUUAUACUGCACCUAAGAUUGGCCACAAAAUUUGCAAGUAACAUCUCGGUAAACAACCAGACUCUACGUCUCAAUCCAUUAAAGCCCUGCAGGUUCUUUCAUUACCUCAGCAAAGAAACCGUCACGCAUUUUCUAUUCUAGCUGCCAAUUCUACGCCGAUCUCCGUCUGAAAUACUUUUCCGAUGAUGGAAACCCUGUUUUUCAAGAAUAACCACUCCUGUCCCUGGAAACUCUCGAUCCAAUACUACUGAAAAAAGUUUUUUCAUACUACAAGCAGCGCCUGAAGCUGAGAGAAACAAACAGUUACAGUAUUGUGUCCUCAAGAUUUCACAGAGCUUGAUUGUGAGUGAAGACGACUCAGAAAUCUAACACUACCUUUUAGUUGUGAAGACAACGUUAGAGUGCAUGAGUUUUGGUAUCACAUUUCUCGGAUUACCAGCGGUGAUGGGUCUAAAAUGUUUCUUUUGCUGGCAACGUUCACUGAAAUUUUUCUAUGUUUGCCACACAGUAGUGCAAAUGUAGAACGUUCAUGAUCAUCUAUAAAUAUAAUGAAAACUCACGUCAGGAAUCAAUUUAAUCCUAACACUUUGACAGGAUCACUUUUUACCAAACAUGACUUAGAAACUCCUUCCUUUGAUGUGAAACUGGCUGAUGACUAUAAAAAAUUAUUGACAACAAAUAUGUAUGUCUUUAAAAAAAAAGAAAAGACCAGUCAUCUCGUAGAAAGAAGUGAUUCUGAUAAUUGAGAGUAUCUAGUCUACUUUGAUUUAAAUGAAUAAUUUAUAUUAUCGCUUACUGUUGAAAUAAGAGCUUAUAAUAUCUUAAUAAAAUAUUUUCAUGGUAAUUUUUGCGUAAUUAACUAAAUUAUCGAUAAUUUUUAAAAAAAUAUGAGUCAAGUAAUUUCCAAAUGUUUCAGUAAUAAUACGUAUGUUAAU